AGUCACAGAGUAUACAGAGGCGGAACUCGCGGCGAUUCCUUUGUUCUUUGUGUCCCCGUGCAACGUCAUUUCCACGCGCCACGCAAAUUGCUCUGGCAAGUGUCAUUCGUCGUGUUUUCAGUCAAAAGCAUAGGAAAAACACCGUUCGAAAGUAGAAAAAUAAAUAUUUUUGCGAAGUUGCUCGACCGAUCUUCAUUUUGGGACUCAAAUUUGAAAGAUAAAUGGUAAGUGGUUAUUUUUAUGUAAAAAGAUAUACGUUUAUAGGCUAAAUACAAAGAAAAAAUAGUAUAAUACAAUAUACAAUCUCGGUGCUUGUGAUGUUCUGCCAAGAAGCAGAUUCUCAUUUCGCUAAUUUCGCUAUAAAAUUAAUGCGGGCCAAACGUAUUGCUUUCCUGUCUUUUACAUUAUUAAUAAGAAAGCAUAGGUGCUUAUUUGAAACACGUCCAUCAGGUUCCAUGCAUGUAGCUUUGGGAUUUGUGAGCAAAACUACCUAUGUUUUUAAUACUUUCUGUGCAACUAUAAAUAACCACAUUCACAAAUGUAUUCUCCAGCAAAGAAACGUUUCUUUACGGGUUGUUAUUCCGCAUUUGAAGGCAUGCUUAUGCAUGCUUAUGCCUUCAAAGGUCAGAGGUCUUGAACAUGCAGAAUAGCAGAGACUACUGUCAUUGACAUCCUUUGUCACAAAAUUAUGAUGGCAUAUUGGACAGCUAUGUUGGAUAAGGCACUUCCUUAAUAAAUAGCCUAACACAUAAGUUCAUGCAGACUAAGUUUUGUUCAAUUUCAUUUGUUUUGUAGUCGGUAUCUUCAACUGCUUGGAUUAGUGGUGGGCUUGUCUAAUCAUUCCCUGCAGAUAAAUCAGAUUGGCUAAGGUGAAAUGCAAUCAAAUAGGCAUCAGAAUCUUCAGCACAGCUGCCAAUUGAAAGUGGUGUCAAAAUGUUAUCUACAAAUAAUAUGCAAAAUGCUCUGGUGAACUGGAUGGGACUAAUGGGUUGUCACAAUCCCCCCCCCCCCUGCCUAAUGAGGCCAAAGAAGUUCUCCAGAGGAUCCUGGUUGAGACAUCUUGUCAUGAGAAACUCCAAGGAAUGAUGUUGGUUAAGGUCUUGAAAUGUAAAUACUACAGUGUAAAUACUACAAUGAAAUGUAAAUACAACAGUGUAAUUGGGGUUUAAAAAAUACAAAGUUUAUUUUAAUAAAUGUUUAUUUUAUUUCACAUUUAUAUACAUUUAAGAACUUAAAUUAUUCAAAAACUAAAUAAAUAUGUGUUCAAUGUCAAUGAAUAUUCUAAAUUUUUUAUUCCAAAAUAGGCAAUAACUGUUUCCUUUAUAGUUGACCCCACAUGUUGUCAUGAAAAUUAAUACUAAAUAAAAAAGUAGCCAAUGAUCCAUGUUUCCUCUUACAGUCUUUGCUUUAUAUGAAAAGUUAAAUACUAUGAAUAAUUGCAUUGUUCCUUUUAUUGAUAAAGAGUUUCCCAUUAAAAGAGAAAGUAUUCCCAAUUAAUACUUUCCCUUUAAAGUCAUGUGCCCACCCCUUGAUGAGUAAAAUUGUCUGCUGUUAGACAGAGUAAAAUAAUAAAGUAGGGUGCAUCAGGGCACCAAGUUGGGUAACUAACAAGUAAAAUUGUCUAGCUUUACAGUACAUCUUCCAAGGGGGGCUGGAUUUGGAGAGCAGGCCUACCACUUUUAGUUGCAUUGGGGGGGGGGGGCUGCUUUUUUGAACCUCAAUUAAACUAUUACAGUAAUCUGAAGGCCUGUUUAUAUGGUCUCCGGGUACUAGGGAAAUCCUACCCCCCACUUGUCUUGCCUAGUGGGAUGAUCCAGGUAGCAAGGUCACACCGCCAGGGGGUACAGCAUCUCUAUUACUCAAGAUUAAUUAUAUAAACAUUGCCUGAGGCUAUGUAAAAUUGGUAGGCAUUCCAAUAUAAGAUCAAAUAGUCUCAGGUUUUCCCCAAUCAGGCGAACAAAUUAACAUAGUUGUAAGAUUCUGCAUCUGAUUCAUUGUAAUGAAUAAUGUAGUUCAACAGGAAUGAUUGGCAAUCUAGAAAAGCAAAAUAAAAAAUAAAAUAAAUAAACAGA